rnacentral:rRNA from 1 species
UGGCGGCAUGCUUUACACAUGCAAGUCGAACGGCAGCACGGAAGAGCUUGCUCUUUUGGUGGCGAGUGGCGAACGGGUGAGUAAUACAUCGGAACGUACCGAGUAGUGGGGGAUAACUGUCCGAAAGGAUGGCUAAUACCGCAUAUUCUCUGAGGAGGAAAGCAGGGGACCUUCGGGCCUUGCGCUAUUUGAGCGGCCGAUGUCUGAUUAGCUAGUUGGUGGGGUAAAGGCCUACCAAGGCGACGAUCAGUAGCGGGUCUGAGAGGAUGAUCCGCCACACUGGGACUGAGACACGGCCCAGACUCCUACGGGAGGCAGCAGUGGGGAAUUUUGGACAAUGGGGGGAACCCUGAUCCAGCCAUGCCGCGUGUCUGAAGAAGGCCUUCGGGUUGUAAAGGACUUUUGUCAGGGAAGAAAAGCUUGAGGUUAAUACCCUUGGGUGAUGACGGUACCUGAAGAAUAAGCACCGGCUAACUACGUGCCAGCAGCCGCGGUAAUACGUAGGGUGCGAGCGUU